GACGGAGGGUGCAAGCGUUGUUCGGAUUGACUGGGCGUAAAGGGCGUGUAGGCGGUCGGUUAAGUCUGAUGUGAAAGCCCGGGGCUCAGCUCCGGAAGUGCGUCGGAAACUAGCUGGCUGGAGCGCGAUAGAGGAGGGUGGAAUUCCUGGUGUAGCGGUGAAAUGCGUAGAUAUCAGGAGGAACACCGGCGGCGAAGGCGGCCCUCUGGAUCGUUGCUGACGCUGAGACGCGAAAGCGUGGGGAG
rnacentral:rRNA from 1 species